rnacentral:rRNA from 1 species
GAUGAACGCUGGCGGCGUGCCUAAUACAUGCAAGUCGAGCGAACGGACGAGAAGCUUGCUUCUCUGAUGUUAGCGGCGGACGGGUGAGUAACACGUGGAUAACCUACCUAUAAGACUGGGAUAACUUCGGGAAACCGUAGCUAAUACCGGAUAAUAUUUUGAACCGCAUGGUUCAAAAGUGAAAGACGGUCUUGCUGUCACUUAUGGAUGGAUCCGCGCUGCAUUAGCUAGUUGGUAAGGUAACGGCUUACCAAGGCAACGAUGCAUAGCCGACCUGAGAGGGUGAUCGGCCACACGGGAACUGAGACACGGUCCAGACUCCUACGGGAGGCAGCAGUAGGGAAUCUUCCGCAAUGGGCGAAAGCCUGACGGAGCAACGCCGCGUGAGUGAUGAAGGUCUUCGGAUCGUAAAACUCUGUUAUUAGGGAAGAACAUAUGUGUAAGUAACUGUGCACAUCUUGACGGUACCUAAUCAGAAAGCCACGGCUAACUACGUG